UGCCCCAUCCAUUCGGGGUAACUCUAUCGUGACUAGCGUGAAUGGUAACGUUUGGGUUAGAAAGCUCACGAGACAAUGUGGAAGUUCGAG
rfam:Clostridium puniceum strain DSM 2619 CLPTN_contig000178, whole genome shotgun sequence.